rnacentral:rRNA from 1 species
UNGGAAAGAAAGAUGUGAAAUCCCNGGGCUCAACCUUGGAACUGCAUUUUUAACUGCCGAGCUAGAGUAUGUCAGAGGGGGGUAGAAUUUCCACGUGUAGCAGUGAAAUGCGUAGAUAUGUGGAGGAAUACCGAUGGCGAAGGCAGCCCCCUGGGAUAAUACUGACGCUCAGACACGAAAGCGUGGGGAGCAAACAGGAUUAGAUACCCUGGUAGUCCACGCCCUAAACGAUGUCAACUAGCUGUUGGGGCCGUUAGGCCUUAGUAGCGCAGCUAACGCGUGAAGUUGACCGCCUGGGGAGUACGGUCGCAAGAUUAAAACUCAAAGGAAUUGACGGGGACCCGCACAAGCGGUGGAUGAUGUGGAUUAAUUCGAUGCAACGCGAAAAACCUUACCUACCCUUGACAUGUCUGGAAUGCCGAAGAGAUUUGGCAGUGCUCGCAAGAGAACCGGAACACAGGUGCUGCAUGGCUGUCGUCAGCUCGUGUCGUGAGAUGUUGGGUUAAGUCCCGCAACGAGCGCAACCCUUGUCAUUAGUUGCUACGCAAGAGCACUCUAAUGAGACUGCCGGUGACAAACCGGAGGAAGGUGGGGAUGACGUCAAGUCCUCAUGGCCCUUAUGGGUAGGGCUUCACACGUCAUACAAUGGUCGGGACAGAGGGUCGCCAACCCGCGAGGGGGAGCCAAUCUCAGAAACCCGAUCGUAGUCCGGAUCGCAGUCUGCAACUCGACUGCGUGAAGUCGGAAUCGCUAGUAAUCGCGGAUCAGAAUGUCGCGGUGAAUACGUUCCCGGGUCUUGUACACACCGCCCGUCACACCAUGGGAGUGGGUUUCACCAGAAGUAGGUAGCCUAACCGUAAGGAGGGCGCUUACCACGGUGGGAUUCAUGACUGGGGUGAAGUCGUAACAAGGUAGCCGUAUCGGAAGGUGCGGCUGGAUCACCUCCUU